AUUACAUUUCUAGUGGCGGACGGGUGAGUAACACGUUGGAACCUGCCCCAAAGUGAGGAAUAAGCCACCGAAAGGUGGUCUAAUACUUCAUAAUAUCCAUCUCGUAUGGAUUAAAGCUUUAUGCGCUUUGGGAGGGGCCUGCGUAACAUUAGCUUGUUGGUGAGGGUAAAAAGCUCACCAAGGCUUCGAUGUUUAACUGGUUUGAGAGGAUGACCAGUCACACUGGGACUGAGAUACGGCCCAGACUCCUACGGGAGGCAGCAGUAAGGAAUCUUCCACAAUGGGGCAACCCUGAUGGAGCAAUACCGCGUGCAGGAUGAAGCGUUUCGGCGUGUAAACUGCUUUUAUCACCGAAGAUUAUGACUGUAGGUGAAGAAUAAGGACCGGCUAACUACGUG
rnacentral:rRNA from 1 species